CCUACGGGAGGCAGCAGUGGGGAAUAUUGGGCAAUGGGCGCAAGCCUGACCCAGCAACGCCGCGUGAAGGAAGAAGGCUUUCGGGUUGUAAACUUCUUUUAAGAGGGAAGAGCAGAAGACGGUACCUCUUGAAUAAGCCACGGCUAACCACGUGCCAGCAGCCGCGGGAAUACGUAGGUGGCAAGCGUUGUUCGGAUUUACUGGGUGUAAAGGGCGUGCAGCCGGGAAGACAAGUCAGAUGUGAAAUCCCGCGGCUCAACCGCGGAACUGCAUUUGAAACUGUUUUUCUGGAGUACCGGAGAGGUCAUCGGAAUUCCUUGUGUAGCGGUGAAAGGCGUAGAUAUAAGGAAGAACACCAGUGGCGAAGGAGGAUGACUGGACGGCAACUGACGGUGAGGCGCGAAAGCGUGGGGAGCAAACAGGAUUAGAUACCCGAGUAGUC
rnacentral:rRNA from 1 species